CACCCCUCAAGCGUAGCUUGGUAUUGGGCUCUCGCCCCCGCGGCAUGCCCGAAAAGCAGCGGCGUCCGGUGCGACUUUAAGCGUAGUAAAUUUCUCCCG
rnacentral:misc_RNA from 1 species